GACGCCUCUGCCGAAGAGAAGCGUCUUAACGUUCCGCCUUCAGAGCAGCAGAAGGGUUUUUGAUGCCGAUCACGAAGGUUGGGAGACCAGUAGGAAUGAACCAGAGGAGACCAGCUGUGACUCCGAGGGAGGCUGCACCAUCAGCCCAGGGCCCCAAGGAGCGCAGAGCCGGCGCAGAGAUGGGCGUGACCCGUGCGUAAGCAAUAAUCCUUGGGAGAGAGACAGAGCAUGAAUGGGGGAGGGGCAGAGAGAGAGGGAG